GAUGAACGCUGGCGGCGUGCUUAACACAUGCAAGUCGAACGAAGAAACCUUGAAUGAGAGCUUCGGCAGGAUUUCUUGGUAUCUUAGUGGCGGACGGGUGAGUAACGUGUGGGCAACCUGCCCUAUACUGGGGAAUAAUCACUGGAAACGGUGACUAAUACCGCAUGUCAUCACCGGAGGGCAUCCUCUGGUGAAAAAAGGAGCAAUUCGGUAUAGGAUGGGCCCGCAUCUGAUUAGCUAGUUGGUAAGGUAACGGCUUACCAAGGCAACGAUCAGUAGCCGACCUGAGAGGGUGACCGGCCACAUUGGGACUGAGACACGGCCCAA
rnacentral:rRNA from 1 species